rnacentral:rRNA from 1 species
GACGAACGCUGGCGGCGUGCUUAACACAUGCAAGUCGAACGGAAAGGCCCUGCUUUUGUGGGGUGCUCGAGUGGCGAACGGGUGAGUAACACGUGAGUAACCUGCCCUUGACUUUGGGAUAACUUCAGGAAACUGGGGCUAAUAUCGGAUAGGAGCUCCUGCUGCAUGGUGGGGGUUGGAAAGUUUCGGCGGUUGGGGAUGGACUCGCGGCUUAUCAGCUUGUUGGUGGGGUAGUGGCUUACCAAGGCUUUGACGGGUAGCCGGCCUGGGAGGGUGACCGGCCACAUUGGGACUGAGAGACGGCCCAGACUCCUACGGGAGGCAGCAGUGGGGAAUAUUGCACAAUGGGCGGAAGCCUGAUGCAGCAACGCCGCGUGCGGGAUGACGGCCUUCGGGUUGUAAACCGCUUUCGCCUGUGACGAAGCGUGAGUGACGGUAAUGGGUAAAGAAGCACCGGCUAACUACGU